rnacentral:tRNA from 3 species
GGGGCCGUAGCUCAGUUGGGAGAGCGCCGCAAUCGCACUGCGGAGGUCAGGGGUUCGAAUCCCCUCGGCUCCACCA